rnacentral:lncRNA from 1 species
UGAGGUACAGCUCAGGUUUACAAUGACUUGAAGGUCAAAUCUGCAAUCUCCCAAUGAUAAGCUUUCCUUCUCAGCUAGGGGUCUCAUCCGUCAUGAAAAUGCUUGGCUCAUUUAGUCCGUACAAGCUUGUGAACACAGAACUCCAGAAUGCCAUUACUAAAGCGUCCUAUCCAGCAAAAUGAAGAGCAGCGAAAACAUCUUCUAAAAGUAUUGUUUGCGUCGAUUUCGACAAUCUCUCCGUAAGAAUGUUUUCGUGCACCGUUCGUUCGAAAACAUUGACGCGAACGACCGAGCGACGACGUGCAAAAUGCGCGGUGGUCCCUGAAUCUAUACUUGCAAUGGCAUGUGCAGUCAAGUUGGCGUUUCUGCCAUGGAACGGGUGCGAGGUUCCUGGAUCCUUCUAUUCAACAGGCGUCAAAGGUAUACCCGGAAAGGACUGCCAAAAAGUAUAUCAACCAGCUAUAGCAGCGGAGGCACAAGCUGUUCAACGGCUGCGGCAGCAGCAGGUGAGGGUACGGCACCUGCUGCAGAGCGUGCGUACAUCCAACACGGUAUGUGGCAAUCCAGGUUGACGGAUGAGGUGUGCGCUGCCGUUUGGUCCUUAUAGGUUAUUAUUAUGACGUUUGGAUAUGCCCUGGCCCUACCGUCCGCAGGCGAAGGCAGACCUUACCGCAGGGGCGAGUAGUCCCAUUGUUGAAGACGGUCACGAGACCGUUCCUGCCGCUGUAAAGGCGGCUCGUGACGCCUUGAACGAGGAGCUUCGGCAGCGGAACAAGGCCUUAGUCGAUAGCGCGUGGCAGUCGCUGGAGUAAUGCUCUCGGUGGAGUCAUCUAGCCAGAAGCCAGGGACUCUCGAUCUCUUGGGACAAUGGACUAGGUUUAAGACGCACGUCGGGGGCUAUCUGGCCGUUGCACUUCCCGUGCGUUAGCUGUAAUGGGACGAACCAUUCCGA